rnacentral:rRNA from 1 species
CCUACGGGCGGCAGCAGUGGGGAAUAUUGGGCAAUGGGCGCAAGCCUGACCCAGCAACGCCGCGUGAAGGAAGAAGGCUUUCGGGUUGUAAACUUCUUUUCUCAGGGACGAAGCAAGUGACGGUACCUGAGGAAUAAGCCACGGCUAACUACGUGCCAGCAGCCGCGGUAAUACGUAGGUGGCAAGCGUUAUCCGGAUUUACUGGGUGUAAAGGGCGUGUAGGCGGGGCUGCAAGUCAGAUGUGAAAACCAUGGGCUCAACCUAUGGCCUGCAUUUGAAACUGUAGAUCUUGAGAGCUGGAGAGGCAGACGGAAUUCCUGGUGUAGCGGUGAAAUGCGUAGAUAUUAGGCGGAACACCAGUGGCGAAGGCGGUUUGCUGGACAGCAACUGACGCUGAGGCGCGAAAGCGUGGGGAGCAAACAGGAUUAGAUACCCUGGUAGUC